rnacentral:rRNA from 1 species
AUACGUAGGUGACAAGCGUUAUCCGGACUUACUGGGCGUAAAGGGCGUGUAGGCGGUCUUGAAAGUCAGAAGUGAAAUUCCUGAGCUCAACUCGGGCGCUGCUUCUGAAACUGCAGGACUUGAGUGUUGGAGGGGAUAGCGGAAUUCCUAGUGGAGCGGUAAAAUGCGCAGAUAUUAGGAAGAACAGCGGUGGCGAAGGCGGCUAUCUGAACAGCAACUGACGCUGAGGCGCGAAAGCGUGGGGAGCAAACAUGUUUAGAUCCCCUGGUAGUCCACGCCGUAAACGAUGAAUACUAGGUGUAGGGGGUAUCGACUCCCUCUGUGCCGCAGUUAACACAAUAAGUAUUCCGCCUGGGGAGUACGGCCGCAAGGUUGAAACUCAAAUGAAUUGACGGGG